rnacentral:rRNA from 1 species
UGGGGAAUAUUGGACAAUGGGCGAAAGCCUGAUCCAGCAAUGCCGCGUGAGUGAUGAAGGCCUUAGGGUUGUAAAGCUCUUUUACCCGGGAUGAUAAUGACAGUACCGGGAGAAUAAGCCCCGGCUAACUCCGUGCCAGCAGCCGCGGUAAUACGGAGGGGGCUAGCGUUGUUCGGAAUUACUGGGCGUAAAGCGCGCGUAGGCGGCUUUGUAAGUUAGAGGUGAAAGCCCGGAGCUCAACUCCGGAAUUGCCUUUAAGACUGCAUCGCUAGAAUCGUGGAGAGGUGAGUGGAAUUCCGAGUGUAGAGGUGAAAUGCGUAGAUAUCGAGAGGAACACCUGCGGCGAAGGCGGGUUGCUGGGCUGACACUGACGCUGAGGCGCGAAAGCUAGGGGAGCGAA